rnacentral:lncRNA from 1 species
AGGAGAGGGAGGGGAGAAAGGAGGGGAGAGAGGCUGAGGUGUCUGAACUAACCGGAGAGAGAGACCAAGGCUAAAGCAUCCAACGACAUAGAGGGCUUCGUGAGGGCUCAAAGCUGCUUCAAGCCGUCCGGAUCUGGUGAGAGAAAGAGGCCAAGGCUUCGUGAUGGGGACAAGGACAGAGACAAAGGCUUACCUUGGGCGUCACGAGGCAGAGACAGUGAAGAGGAUAGACA